AAGAAAGUGACAGAGUGGCCAUGUGGUCGGCUUGAAACCGGUUCAAGGGGGUUCGAUUCCUCCCUUUCUCG
rnacentral:tRNA from 1 species